CAAACAGUCUGUUCCUGACUCACCAGAGAGAGCGGCAGGCUGGCACUCCCCCAUGACCCAGAGGCUGUGCACGGUGAGGGCCCAUUCCAGGAAAGCUUCUUGGUCAAGCCCAGUUCAGCGUUUCCUUGCAAGCCCCCUCAUCCCUCCAGGCUUCUCCUGCCAGAGGACAGUAAGCCAAGAGCGUGGACUAACCAGACUUUAGAGUUGGUUCUCAAACACACUGGUGGGGGAAGAACUGAAAGAAUAAACAUCUCUCAGGAUCCAAAUCUGGCCUUCAAGAUGAUGAGAGCCGCCUCCUCCAGCAGAGCUUUCUCUCACAGGCUGUGGCGCCAGCCACUGAUACUCCACAGCACGUUUGCCGUCCAUUCUUUGCAGUAGCCUGUCCUAUACAGUCGCUUGGGAGACAAGGGAUCAUGGGUGAUAGACUUUGCAGUCAGACUUUCCAGAUUCAAUCCCACAUCUCCCUUUUACAAAGCAAGUGAAUGGGCAAGACCGACUCAUCCUCCACUUCUUCCAGUAGGAGUCUGCUUCUCCUUGCCUGUUGAAGUUGGGUGUGGCAAUCGGACAUCCUCUGGCUGGUGAAGCAUGAAGCAGCAGGUAUCACUUCCCAGCAGAUGCAGGACCCUCCGC